AGGCAGGGAGGGAGAGAGAAAAAGGAGCAUGACCCAAUUAAACUCACUCCAGAAAUCAUUGACAAGCUAGGAGGACAUUGUGCCCUACAGGAAACAAUUAGUAGAUCAGUGGAUCAUAGAUAUUAAUGUGUGUGUGAAUUCUGGGGACCAGGCUAAGCUGUAGCCUGUGAGUCAGGAGGGUACAGUAGAACCCGAGAGUCUUCCUUCCUAACGAGUUUCAGGGGAUGUCCACUCUGUAGAACAGUGUUCUAUCCUUUAGUGGCCAGCUUACAGGCAUAUCAGCAGCUUUUAAAAAGUAUGUACGUUUCUCCCAAACCCAUCACUUAUCUUUUCAAGUAUUAAAAACAAACACACAAACAAACACACAAACAAAAAAAAUGGAGACAAAGUCCUGCAUAAUGCUAGACUAGAAAGUAGCCAAAGAGGUAGGAGAAGUAAAAAUAACUAACAGAAACAUCGGUACAUAGACCGAUGGGCCCUCUAGCUUUUUAGUGAGCCUGGAGUGGCAAUAGACAGAAAUGUGAUCUAAUAGGAACCAGAACAACAGGCCAGUGCUAAACAAGAAUUUCUCAGCCCCCGUUCCUGAACAAGAGUUGUAGACUCUGUCCUUUCUCAAAGCAUCUCUUCAUUGACCCUCCCCCUUCCUAAUGCCAUUCCUACAGAGCCCAACGACAGUAUGUUCUCAGUCUAAUGGGGGUGUGUGUGCGCAAAAUUUUGUUUACACUGAAGAUCAUUCCUGGACCUCACACAAUAUAAGCAGGGGAUCAAUUACCAAGCUAUAGUACCAGGUCCUGUCUAUAUUUUAGUCAAGACAAUUAAUAUUAUCUGCGAGUCACUUUGGUGAUAUGUCUUAGUUUGUUUAGGUGGUUUCAGCUGUAGAUUUCACUCAGCGUUAUCUCAAAUUUGUACCAUGACCAGAAUUAUUUUGUUGAUUUUAUUUCAAUAUCCUGAUGCAGCUUCUGGGCUUUAAUACUUUUAUAUUUAAUAUAAGUGCUAGAUUUGGUAUCUGAAUACCUAAGAGAAAGAUAAAUGUUCCCAUUUAUUUAGCUAUACUAUGAGUUGGAUUCAUUGACAGAUCUUUUACCCAGACUCACCCCAACGAAGCUUUAUCUCGUGGUGUAGUCCCCCUGUGUCUCUGUUUGAAUACUCCAUGCAUGGCAACUCACCCUGCUCAAACAGCUUUAAAGACAGCCAUUCUACCAGUGAGGUAGCCGUGGCUACCAUCUACUAUAUUCUGACUUCUGCGGUCACUUCUGCUCAGUAAUGGGAGCAGCAAUAAAAAGCAAGACAGUAAACAAGCUAUAGUAGAUGCCCAACUUUCUUAGCCCAGCACUGAGCCUAUCAAACUGGACACCCCCCCCCCCUUCCAGGGGUACUCGGAAAGGUUUUGGAGGACCCAGAAAGCACAUGUGGAAAAGUAUCUCCUUAUCAAAACCACUCGGGAUUUGGGAGAAAUGUUGGCUUAAAAUACGUGGAAACAUUAUGAAGUUGGAAACAGAAUUCUGGUGGUAAACAAAUGCUAAAGAAUGGGUUCUGGGGAAAAAAAAACACUACAGGCAAUGAAGAGCUGCACUUCUUGGGAUUCCUCAAGCCCUUGUUUCUUGUAUUUACUUUUAUUUUAUGUGCAUUGAUUUUUUUUCUGGAUGCAUGUCUGUGUGAGAAUGUCAGAUCUUGAACUUACAGAUAGUUGUGAGCUGCCAUGUGGGUGCUGAGAUUUGAACCCAGGUCCUCUGGAAGAACAGUCAGUGCUUUUAAUCGCUGUGUCAUCUCUCCAGGCCCAAGCCCUCGUUUCUUUAGCCAGCUUUUCCUCUACUCUGUGUUAGUGUUGAAAAAAAACUAGAAAAAUUUGCAAGCACAUCCUGGACGACACUCAAGACCCUUACAUGUGGAGACAUGUGGUUCCAGACAGACCCUGAUUCUUUUUGCUCAACACUCAUUUUAAAUACAUUAUUCAACCAACUAGAAUUUAAAAUAAUUUUUCACCCCUGGUACUGUUGAAGUAGAUUAAAUAGGGACAUUUUCAUCAUGAAAAAUUAAGCCAUGAUUCUUUCCAAAAUGUCUGAGCACAUGAGUUUUGAAUGAUUAUAGAAAUAAAAUGCUGGAAAUGAAUUCUUUCUCAAACUAUUGAGUUGGCCCUCGGGAAGGACACUGGGUGAUGAAAAGCAUAAUUAAAACAGGGGUGAGUGCCUUGUGCUGAGACACAGAGACAAAAAACCAAAUGAAGAAGCCAAGAACACUGAUUGUCGUUUCUGGUCUGUAAAGACAAAAAGGAGACUUAGGUGAAAAUACACAGAAAGAGGAAAGACAGCGUCACUGAACAAUAAAAGUGAGGGAGGACAGGCGAUGAAAUAAAGAAAAGCAAUGACUUUGCUGUGCUAAAGCAGAAAAUAUUAAGGCAUUCUUCAGGCUUGAAGAAUGAAGAGCCAUGCCUCUGCGGGUUUGCAUUUACGAGGCAGUUUAUGAGUCCCGUGGGAUGCUUUAAAAUGUGCAAUAACCAUAUUUUCUUAAAGAGGAACAAUAGCAAAACCUCCAUGUUGGAGAAAUUGCAUCAGAACAGUUAAAUUUUUACACUGUGUUCACAGAAAAUAAAUAAUUUCCUGGAGAACAUCGACUUCAUUGAAAACCCUUUUCCCUUAUUAAUGAUCCAUGUAUCCACAUUUAUUCUCUAGAUAAAGUUCUCCCAAAUUCCCAAGU
rnacentral:lncRNA from 1 species